rnacentral:rRNA from 1 species
UUAAAUUGAAGAGUUUGAUCAUGGCUCAGAUUGAGCGCUGGCGGCAGGCCUAACACAUGCAAGUCGAACGGUAACAGGAAGCAGCUUGCUGCUUCGCUG